rnacentral:rRNA from 1 species
GGAAUUUUGCACAAUCGACGAAAGUCGGAUGCAGCAACGCCGCGUGGGGGACGAAAGGCUUCGGCUUGUAAACCCCUUUUGCGAGGGAAGAAGAUCUGACGGUACCUCGCGAAUAAGUCCAGGCUAACUACGUGCCACCAGCCGCGGUAAUACGUAGGUGGCAAACGUUGUCCGGAUUUACUGGGCGUAAAGCGCGCGCAGGCGGAUUGGUCAGUCCGGGGUGAAAUCUCUCGGCUCAACUGGGAGAGGUCCCUGGAUACUGCCAGUCUUGAGGGGCUCAGAGGAGAGUGGAAUUCCGCGUGUAGUGGUGGAAUGCGUAGAUACGCGGAGGAACACCAGUGGCGAAAGCGGCUCUCUGGGGGCCACCUGACGCUGAGGCGCGAAAGCGUGGGGAGCGAAC